rnacentral:pre_miRNA from 1 species
UAAAGUGCUUAUAGUGCAGGUAGUGUUUAGUUAUCUACUGCAUCAUGAGCACUUAAAG